AUGAGCACAUCAGGCACACGUGCAGAGUGGAGAGCUGGAGCAGCUCACUCACUCCUCAAUUCCACCCACAGGAAAGGAGAACUGAGGAACAGACACGCGGCCCAGAAGAUUCUGGAAGGCGCACAAGGCCCUGGGGGCUGGCCCAGGCCGGACCGCGCAUGCUCCAGGGCCACCAGCCCGGUUCGUGCUUUUGGAACUACCAGUUGGCACCGGUUGCCCUUGCCUAAUCAUCCACUCACAGUCCCCCGCUCCAUCGCUUCCAGGACACAACAGCACUCCUGAAAUAAAUUGCAUUUGAUAAGAGAAAUUAAGGUGAUUGAAAAAUGUGCUGAAAAGAAGUCUGCACUGAUUCCUGGAGGACAUUUCUAUGAGGUAGGUAGUACUUCACCAUCAUAUUCCAGCUAAAGCAAGUAUUGUGGGAUCUUGCAUAGACUUGUGCUUCCAGAACUGAUUUAGAAACUUGUGUGGCAACCUAGACUCUGUGAAUGUAUCUUGGAAACGUCAUGGGCUUACUAUGAUAUAUCCUUUAUGUUGAAUGACACUCUAUUGCAAGGGUCCUUAUGGAGUCAAAAAAAAUGAAUGUGGGAAGAGAAAUAAAUUUUAUAGGUUCUUUUUAGUCUCUACUGACUAGAUAUAUUUUUAUUAGAUGUAAUGUUUUCUACAUUGUGGGAAUAUAUAAAAAUUUCAAACUAUACAAUUACUGCAUAUUUUUAUAUUACCUUGAACAAGUUGU
rnacentral:lncRNA from 1 species